rnacentral:tRNA from 1 species
GCGCCCAUAGCUCAGUUGGAUAGAGCGUCUGACUACGAAUCAGAAGGCCGCAAGUUCGAAUCUUGCUGGGCGCA